UCCUACGGGAGGCAGCAGUGGGGAAUAUUGCACAAUGGGCGCAAGCCUGAUGCAGCCAUGCCGCGUGUGUGAAGAAGGCCUUCGGGUUGUAAAGCACUUUCAGUAGGGAGGAAGGUGGUAGUGUUAAUAGCGCUAUCAUUUGACGUUACCUACAGAAGAAGCACCGGCUAACUCCGUGCCAGCAGCCGCGGUAAUACGGAGGGUGCGAGCGUUAAUCGGAAUUACUGGGCGUAAAGCGCAUGCAGGUGGUUUGUUAAGUCAGAUGUGAAAGCCCCGGGCUCAACCUGGGAAUUGCAUUUGAAACUGGCAAACUAGAGUACUGUAGAGGGGGGUAGAAUUUCAGGUGUAGCGGUGAAAUGCGUAGAGAUCUGAAGGAAUACCGGUGGCGAAGGCGGCCCCCUGGACAGAUACUGACACUCAGAUGCGAAAGCGUGGGGAGCAAACAGGAUUAGAUACCCUGGUAGUCCACGCCGUAAACGAUGUCUACUUGGAGGUUGUGGCCUUGAGCCGUGGCUUUCGGAGCUAACGCGUUAAGUAGACCGCCUGGGGAGUACGGUCGCAAGAUUAAAACUCAAAUGAAUUGACGGGGGCCCGCACAAGCGGUGGAGCAUGUGGUUUAAUUCGAUGCAACGCGAAGAACCUUACCUACUCUUGACAUCCAGAGAAUCCGGCGGAGACGCAGGAGUGCCUUCGGGAGCUCUGAGACAGGUGCU
rnacentral:rRNA from 1 species